rnacentral:lncRNA from 1 species
GGUUCCUCUCCUGUUUCUGCUCAAGUUGUAGGGAGUGCUUCUGGGUACAACAGUAGGAACAUAGAUCAUGGAGGCGGAGAAAACAAUUAUAGGUUGGGAGCUACAGGGAUCGGAAGAAACAUUGGACCAGGUAGAGCUGCAAUUUCACCUUUUGUUGCAUCAACUGGUGAUUAUGAACGGUCACAUGGAGACUUAUACAGUGCCAAUUCAAGGUUUGUAGAUGCACCAUGGCAGUCCACAUCUGCGGAGGUUGAUGAUUCCAGUUCAUUUCGUUAUGGACUGGGCACUGCAGCAGAAUCCACAGUGAUAAGCUCUGAGGGAUUUGUUGGGUCNUUGGGGGCUACAGGGAUCGGAAGAAACAUUGGACCAGGUAGAGCUGCAAUUUCACCUUUUGUUGCAUCAACUGGUGAUUAUGAACGGUCACAUGGAGACUUAUACAGUGCCAAUUCAAGGUUUGUAGAUGCACCAUGGCAGUCCACAUCUGCGGAGGUUGAUGAUUCCAGUUCAUUUCGUUAUGGACUGGGCACUGCAGCAGA